ACUCAAAUGAAUUGACGGGGACUUGCACAAGCAGUGGAUUAUGUGGUUUAAUUCGAUGGUAAACGAAGAACCUUACCAGGGUUAGAAAUCCUAUUGAAAGCCUUUAGAAACAUUGGCCCUCGCAAGACUGUAGGACAGGUGAUGCAUGGCCGUCGUCAGUUCGUGGUUUGAAUUGUACCCUUAAGUGGGCUAACGAACGCAACCCUCGUUGUGUGUUACAAGUGUCACACGAGACCGCCCCCGCCUUUGAUCGCAAAAAUUUUUUGUGGACAAAGGCGGGGGAGGAAGGAGAGGAUGACGCCAGGUCAGCAUGUCCCUCUGAUACCCUGGGCUACACACAUAAUACAAUGACCACUACAACGCGUAGCGACGAGGCGACUCUGAGCUAAUCGUCCAAAAGUGGCCUCAGUUCGGAUUGGAGUCUGCAACUCGACUCCAUGAAGCUGGAAUUGCUAGUAAUCACAGGUCAGCUAAACUGUGGUGAAUACGUUCUCAAGUCUUGUACACACCGCCCGU
rnacentral:rRNA from 1 species